rnacentral:rRNA from 2 species
UUUGAAAGAGAGUUAAAGAGUACCUGAAACUGCGUGAAAGAGGAACCGAAUCGUUUCCAGUGUCUAUAAUCCAUGGCAUAUUUCAUUGGCGAAUGAGUGCGUGCAGCGUUUUGGAAGUGGUUUCCGCUCCUGUCGUUGUUGUGCAUUUUUUUGCUGGUGCCCUGUGCUGUGGUGGGACGUCAGAGUCAGUUUGUAUGUUGCGGGAAAUGGUUAUUGGGGAGGUAGGUCAUUUCGGUGGCUGUUAUAUCCUGGUGACUAGUCGUCGUGGCUGAGACUGAGGUGCCUACAAUGUGCUUUCGAGUCUGCGGAUUUCUCGUGUGGAUGUUUGCUCUGAUAGCUUGCUAUGUUGGCGAAUAAUCGUGCGAUUGAA